rnacentral:rRNA from 1 species
UACGUAGGGUGCGAGCGUUAAUCGGAAUUACUGGGCGUAAAGCGUGCGCAGGCGGCGCGUUAAGACAGGUGUGAAAGCCCCGAGCUUAACUUGGGAAUUGCAUUUGUGACUGCAUCGCUGGAGUGCGGCAGAGGGGGAUGGAAUUCCGCGUGUAGCAGUGAAAUGCGUAGAUAUGCGGAGGAACACCGAUGGCGAAGGCAAUCCCCUGGGCCUGCACUGACGCUCAUGCACGAAAGCGUGGGGAGCAAACAGG